UCGCGCCGGGCACCGCGCUGCCCGCCUCCGCCGCGGCUCCGAGCGAGGCACGCAGCCUGGAAGCCCGGGACCUUUUAUAAUUCCCAGUUUAUCAAUCUGCUCUUUUAAACACAGUGUGGCUGUUUAUAUAAAAUGUUCCCCGCGCAAAAGACAAAAUCGUGAAACACCGUUGUCAUUUGAGCCAGGUCAUCCUGACAUCUUUUACAGCCAUUCGAUUGAAGAUACUAAGGAGGACAUGAAGAAGGAGCAAGCCCCAUUGCUGUGAUCAGGCAGUGAGAAAGAAACACAGGGGGCAAUAUGAUGACAGUGAUGUAGGGCUCAUCCUUUCCAAAAGUGACAAGAAAUGUCUGCCAACACUUGUGGAGUAGGCAUAACUGCUGCAGAAGAGCUCACUAGUUUGGCUCUGCUGUCAAGUGAUCAACUCUGAGACCUACCAAUCUACAGGGGAUCAGAUGUUUGCUGUAUCAAGACAAAGCUCCUGAAAUCCUGAAGUCAGCAAGAGCAAAGCAUUCCUUCUAUCUGUUAUGUGAAAGUCAUCACUGCUGCCCGCACACUGUGACUGGAAAAUUAGAGAGCAUGAAUAGCUUGCUGCCUUUCUCUGCUGGAAAAGCUGGGUAGCCAUGACACAGACUAUAUCCCCACCUGGAAUCCUUUGCAUGAGAAAGGAGUCUACCAUAUGCUGAAUGACAGAGGGAGUAACUGCAAAUUCGUCUUAAAACCUGCUAUAUAUUGCCAUGAGCAGCCAGAAAAAACUCCAGAAACCUCUACAGAAAGAUUAAAAAAAUGGAAAACAAAACUGCAAACUACACUAUAGAAAAUCUGUUAAAGACAUUUGUGUGCAAAGUAUAUUUUCAGACCAGCAGAACAACAGAUAUCCUAGCCUGUGCCUCCAGAUACUUGAACUUUUGUACUUCGUUUUUCAUUUAUCUCCUUUCUUAAUAAUUUUGAGAAUGUGCUGAAAUCAUUCUUGUUUAUGACAGAUAUCCUUGGUCUUGAUCACAACAAAGCUGAAAAAAUCCAACAUAAUAAAAACAAACCACAUAGAAUUGUUUUAGUGAUUCUGAGCAGCAAUUCUUAAUUCGGAGUGUAGUUGUUUUUUGCAGAGGAAGAGUUGAUUUGGACAAAUGCAGAUAUUGGUUUUUGUCUAUUGCUGAAAAUAGGUUGGAAAAAAACAUAUCUUUAAUUUCAAAACAACAGUUUACUUAUGAGCUAUGUUCUUCAUUUUUUUCCACACACAAGGACAGUAUUUUACAUUUAUUUUGCCAAAUCUUACCUUUCCAUGCAAAUCCCAGGACUUUACAUCAGUUAUCAUUUAAUGUAGAUGCUAUGCUGAAUUAAAAUCCAUUUGCCAGCUGGAUGACACAUACAGAAAUCUCAUAAGACAAUACCAGAUGUUCAGAUAAUUAAACAAAAAAAAAAAAAAAAACCCAAACCCCAUACUGGCCCACACAAGCAUUUGCACAUAUGACAGGCCCUUGUUUAUUGACAAGAUAAAACAUCAGAGGCUUCUGUCUUUUGAAAUAAUUACAGUUGGUUCAACAGGCAAUUAAAAUUGCAAUCUGAAUAAAUGAACUGAUUUUUUUCAGAGGUCUGAUGGUUAGAAUGGCAAUUUCUUCCUUGUCCUCAUAAGGAGGAGGAAGAUAAAACUAGAAAUUACAGCCUAUGUCCUUAAUAAAACCAAACACUGUUAAAUAUCAACAUUGUCAUCAAGUCACCUGAUACAGAACUAUUAUUUUGCUUCUGGCUUAUCUCCCCAUGAUGAAGGUGGUUUAAUAACUAGGUUACAUUUAGAGCUCAAAUCCAAAAAGAGCAGUCAAAGCUUUGCCCAAUAAAUUGAUCCCUAGAAAGUAUCUGAUAUCAUUCCCUCUAUCAUUCUGCUGCUUCCCAAAGACUUCCACAUCUCACAUGAAGUGUACAUAGUCUGCAAUCAAGGCUAGACCAUGUACCACAAAGCCUGCAAAAUCAGAGAGAAGCUGCUUGGCAAAAUCACUGCUCUUCACACACCUGGAGACACACAUGCAACCAUGGAGCUGAGGAGCUCUGGAGACUGCACCAUCCACUCUUGCAGACCCCAAAUGCAGGUUUGCUCUUGCUGCAGGACAAUAUAUGCUGGGAAGUCUGAGCCAUCCCUCUUUCAUACGCAAAACCCCCUGAACAUUUGCUUUUGCUCUCAGGCACGUUAGUUAAACAGUCUAACAGGAGGUUAGAUGUUGAUUGUGUCAAUUCAGGCUACAAAGCCUCAGAGACUGCAUUUAAACUUCAGAGAAGUAAUGAUGAUACUACUGAUCCCCAAGUCCCAAGCUUCUCACUAACUUAAACCACCUGGAAUACUUCCUAUCACCUUUAUUAACUGCAGACAACUGGGGGCCUGUUAACAGACCAGACAGAAUCUGUUAAUAGGACCCCUGGGUAACAGUAAAUUGUCUGCUUACAAAUGGACUAUUUAAAAUUGAAAUAGGCUGAGCUCUGAAGUUUUUGUCCAUUUGGUAUGGAGGUGAAAGAAAAAAGAAUAUAAAUGGCACAGGAGUGAAAAAUGCAGCUGAGAAGCCUUGUGCAUGCAGUAUGCUCACAUCUUUUAAAGGCAUUUAAAUGGAGAUUUGCCAUCCAUGCCAUCAUCUUUGUACUAAGCACAGGGCGCAAGGAUUGCUUUACUGUAUACUGUAUCCUGCAUUCAGUAUCAUAGAUGGUACUGAUGGCCAUGUGCUUUGUGCCUGGUUACUAAAACCAACACUGACUCUUAGUGCCAGAAAAAACAAUGGUCAAAGUAUAGUUUUGCCUGUAUCACAGCAAGCACUUGAGGUGUUUCCACCAGCACAGCUUUGCUGGUAAGGGAUCAUGACAAACAGAUGUACCUGUAUAACACAGCUAUGUUGGGCUGUGCAAGCGGGCAAACCUGCCGCUCAUCUACCUUUUCCACAGAACCUGCUCCCCACAAGUUGUGAGUAAACAUAAAACAUCUCACCCAUGAUCGUUAUAACUAAAUUAAAACAUGGAUCACUAUAAGCAGGCUUUCUUUUAAAAAAAGAUAGUCAUCAGAUCCAAUUAUAAACUAAUAAAAUGCAUUUCAUCUAAGGAUUUUGCUCUAAGGAUACUGCUUAUCUUAUCAGGCUUCACAAAACUCCAUCAGGUUGCUCCUGAAAGUACUAUUAGACAUGUGCUAAAAAUAAACAGGAAUAGAGAGAUAAACAGAGCCAUAGAGUAAUUAGCCCUUGUCUAAGGUCACUCUGAGGGAGUCCUCGAAAGAAAAGGGGCUCAAGGGACCUGGCUUCCCCCACCAAGCAGCUGCAAGACAGUACCAUAAAAUGAAUUUUUCCUUCUAACUGAAAUCUAUCAUCUGUAUUUGCCAACAAUUUCUUAGUUUUAUGCUCCAUCCAUUCCCAUAGCUCAAGUUUUUUUUACACACAGGCUAGCUCCUCUGUAAUCGUUUCCCUCAAAAUCCUGGGAUGAAUUCCAGCUUUUCUUCGAGUUUUCAUUGAUGAAGUUGAUCACACAUUUAAAGAGCAGAGGGAAAAAAACAAAGCAUCCAGCAAAAGAAACAAACCCCCAAAUCUGGGGGGAAUCUAGUUUCAACCCAGUACUUCCUCCCCCCCACAAGCUGCAAUAUACUUAAGAGCGGAGUAAUUGCUUGAAUAGUUUUAGUCUGCUAUUCUCUUGCUCAUUUGGUUAUGACUCACAUACUUGAAAGAACUGCAGUUGUUACCCUAAUUUCACAGUUAUGUGUAUCUGGCUUGUAUCAUGCCCUCAAUUGAACAGGAAAAGACAAAAAAACUACUAAUGAAAAUGGAAAUGACUAGCCUCCCAGUUCGUGUGUGAGGAUGUUGUUUUCUUCCCCUCUCUCUUUUAGUGAUGAAAUACCACGCACGCAGCUGAAAACAGGCUUUUGUAAUUUCUUCCUGAAAGAUGCAUUUGCAAAUUAGAGCAGCAGGGAGAAGAAUAAACCACAAUACAAAUUUCGCCUUCCACGGGAGAACUGAAGAGUGGCAGAAGUGGUAGAACUGAUCAAAGAACCUGCUUCCCAACUGCAGUCAACCUAAAAAUUGUAUUAUUUAUCUGAGAGAACUCUCAGUAGCCCACAGUUGACCCGUCUUAGAAGCAGUCCCUCUGGUAAACAGGGACAUAUGAACUGUGAAGAGUUCAGGUGACGGACUUGCGACAAGGAGCGAUAGAGUUUCACCUUCUAGGAUGAAAGGCAGGUUCUGGUUACUGCAGAGGAGAAGACUGUAUUUUUUGGUUAAGGGAAAACACAUCCCCACCUUUUCUUGUGGUCCACAAUUGGGCUUGGUUAGCGUAAUGAAGACUGCGUGUCACUAGUGCCGAAAACUGAACUCUUACAAUGGCAAGCUGGAGCCUGAUGGCACCAUCUCAGUGUGGCUAUGAGGACGUGCCUAGGAGAGAUCCCGACGCUGCCAACAGCCUUGUUGGACAAGAAAGUUUCUUCUCAGUGCAGGUGGCACUAGGCUUUUCUGUAAUUUACUUUAUUCUGUUCCAGGAAACAGCUGUGAGGAACCCUUACCUCAUAUUUUCCUUUCUUCUCCAAGGGCUCGGAUUCAGUCUCCGCAGGCACCAUAACUUUGUCCCCUAGAAGCUCCUCUAAGAUGAAGACAGUUUCCCAGUUGCUAUAGUGACGAGCUGGGAAAAUAUCUGAGUGCAUGCUGUCACCAAAAUAAACAACCUAUGAGGGAAACAGCAAAUUAAAAGUUCUUUGUAUAUGGGAAAAACAAGCAAACCAUAUUUCAAAGACAGAGAAAAAGAGCUUUAGAACAACCUAAUAAAAAUUCUUUCAUGUUUACAGCUGGCCACAACACACAUACAUCUUAUCAAUGUCAUAGUCCUGGAGUUUUUUUCAAUCAGCUCACUUCUAGCUUCUCCAUAAGUAAAAGGCUAGCCCUGCAUACUCGCCUUAUUUGACCUUCCAGUGACAUUACGAGGGAAUGUCAGGUUGGGAUUGACACAUACAACAGCACUGAGAUUUUUGACUGACUGAAAUAGCCGGCCGGGAAGCAGUAGAAAAGUUAAACAAGAAAAUACACUAAAUAAAUGGAAUGCAUUUUAGACAACACUGGAAACAAAAGAAAACACAGAGCAUCUCCCGCUGAUUCAGAACUCUUUCGUACCCACGUGGUAGUUUACCCAUUAGGAAAAAUGUGCUCCUGCAGUGUUCACUGGCAUUUUCACCCAGCCUGUGCUGUAAAUGGGGAGAUAAAAUGAUCCUAAUUUUCACUUAUGACACCUUUUCAUCCAUCUCUUUCCUCAGGAAAAUUGUAAUCGAUAAACACUAGAUCAACAGGGAGAUGAUGAAGAUGCAGGCAGCUUUGGCCUUAGUAUAUACCGAUGCAGCUUUUUUCACACAUUAUUUAAAGCAGAAGCAACUACAUCUCCUGCCAUUCUUGUAGCAUAGGGAUUGUGCCCUGGCCUAUUUACUAAGAACUAAAUAGGAAAUACUAUGUACUGGGAAACUGAAAGACGUGAAACAAGCUGAGAAAGAAGUCUCUCACCUUGUGCAGCGAUUGACAUUUUUGUAAAUGUUAGCUAUGCGGCAUAAUGAGGCAGUCACCUUGGAAGUGCAAGGAAAUUGCUCAGUUCAACAGCAGGUGUAUGCGGAAUUAAACUCCUGACUGAUCACAUCAUUAACCUUAAUGCAAGCUGAUUUGGUAAAUUUUAGACUGCAAUGGGGUGUUUUCAGGAAAAAUUACCCACAUUUAUAACAUACCUUGGGGUCCAGCUUGCCAGUCAUCUUCUUCAGUAGUUCAUAGAGAUGGAUAGCAUUACCUUGGGAAUACCAGCCAGGCUUAUCUAGGAAUAACAGAGCCUCCUGCUCUUCAUCAUUCUCUGAAAUCACCAAGCAAAACUGCCCGCGGUUAGUGAUAGCAGCACAUGCUCCUGUACUUGUGAGACAUGUGAGAAGUGGCAUGUGUAUAGCCUGGAAAACAUGGUUUAUUUUGACAUUAAAACAGUUCCAGUGUCUGACAAGAGGUUCAGUUCUAGGUUCUGACUGCAGGUUCAGCUAAGGUGUUUGGUAGCUGAGGGCUGCUCAUGUACAAAGAGUGGCAGGUAAUAUGUGACCUGGUGUAUUAUUAUGUUCAGGAAGCAGGAAAUAAAUAGAAAUAAUGAUAGGGAAACGUGUGAGAAAGGAAACACCUGAGUCUCUUUUGCAGGACCUAUGGAAGAGCUGGGGAAUGAACUUCAUAGGCUUCACCUCCCAAAUAUUGUACCAGUGAAGGUAGGAAGCCACACAGACAAGAAUGAUGGAGCAGCUGCUGCAGAUCUAAGGUGAAACCAUGAGAUUUGACAGACCAUAAACAACACCAUGUACCUUUCCCCACAGAUAAAAUAACUGCUACUUUUAAAACUGACAUAAAUACAACAAAACAGGCUGAGGUAGUUAGAUCAGCACAAGCAACAGGUAGUUCCUGGUUAUCAACUAGGUCUGGGGAAAUGAUGAGUAGACAAUAUUGCUGCUGAUGGUGUAAACUUUCUGUAUAUCUACACUGGCAGCUGGCAGCUAACCAGAAAAACUAGUAGAACCUGAAACUCUGUGGUGAUCAGCUAACUGUGCCAUAAGCUUAGUUUCUAGCUGGUUUUGAGGCAGCUGCAUCUGUCCUGUCUAUGUAGCUUUAUUGUUCCUUCAGGUCCAUGUGCUAUUGGCAGAUGAACUCCUUUUAGCUUCAUGCUGGAGCCAAAAUACUAGCCCUAUUGAAAUGAUAAGUUCGGUUUUCCUCAGAAAUAUAAAUAUUAAUGGCUUCUCUAUCAAAGCAGUUAAACAAAAGGGUGAUUUUAUUAUUCAGUCUCAAUGAAAUACAUAUAUUUUUAUUCUGGUGAAAAAGGGGGUACAAGCCUGUGCAGUACUUUGAUCUGACUUAGGUAGAGCAUCAGGAUUCCAAUCUUUCUCUUACUUUAUACAACUCUUCAAAGUACUUAAAAUGUGUUAGGAGGAAGACUGAGACAGAGUGAGCAAACUUUACUUGGUUAGAGACUGCUGAAAACCGAUAUGUAAAUUUUGGAAGAGCAGAGAAAUGACAAGACAGCUUUAUGUUUAAGAGCAGUUAAGAUGUGCAUGGCAUGGUAAAUUGUUCCUUGAAGGAAAAAAAAAAAAAAAAAAAAAGCAAAAAGAAGGAAAGAGGUAUGUGGAGAGAUGCAGAAAGUCUCUCUUUAAUAUUACAGAUCCAAGAAUUUGAAUAAACACAGGAUUUAUUCUCAGACAAAACAAUUCUAUAUUAAGGGUGCUUUAUAAACUAGGAAAAAACAAGGAAAUUCAAAGUUGACACUAGCAACUCAUGUGGAACUUCUGUGGAAAUGUCUUUGUUUUUGUUUUCUUGCAGUAACCUAACAAUAAUAAUAAAAAUGGUAACAUCCAUAAAUAAAAGUCUCCCUCAUUUUACAUGUCCUGGCUUUUAAAAUACUUUUGACCAAACAACUUUCGAUCAAACAGAAGUUUUCAAACUUUUGGGAGGUAUUUUUAGACAUAUUUUUAAGGCUGGCUGAACAAGUAGACACAAUCUUCAAACAACGAGAUGUAAAAAGAGCAUUUAUCAAAACAGAACUCUCUUGAGCUGUUAUCAAAAGAGUUUCUUGAAAUUUGUAAAGGUACACACAGCUAUCAUGAUCCAUGACCUAUGAUCUGCCCAUUCAGUCACUGAAGAAAGUCACUGAAGAAAAAUGAAGCUAGCACUAGGGGACUUUUCAGAAUAACAACAUUACUAUUGCAGCUAUGAAUUACUAUGAACGCUAUGCAUUACAGCAGCACCAGGAGGUUCCAGCAAAGAGCAGGACCCUGCUUUGUUACCUCUACAGGAAGGCGCAAGGGUAGUUCUGACUGAAAAAGAAAUCACUCUAAUUACAAGGUAAAAGAUUUCUCACUGUGAGAUCCACUAUUGUCACCACUAGCAGUAAGAUUCAUCUCACUUAACUUGAUGCAUCCGAAAGAGAGGCUUCUAAUUUAUAGCUGGAAUCUAAAUUACUUGGCUAGGCUCCCUUUGUCGGCAACAGAGAGAGCAAGAAGCACUUUCUACAGGUGCCAGCUCUGGCCAUUGACUGUAGAAGGCAAGUGUUUGAUUAAACUAGGAUCUUCACAGUUAAGUAGCUGAAAUUAGGGGAAAUUUCAAGUCUCUGUUUCCUCCUCUACACACAGAAGCAUCAAACAACAUCAAGAUGUCUCAUUCGUUAUGGGAGCACACUGACUUUGGAAGAAGCUCCAGAAACCUGAAGAAUUAGGAAAGGUCUCUUACAUUUCAGUUGUAGGGUUACAGGACUAACAGAUCUGAACUGGCGAGCCUUGCUUCCUGAACAAUCUCGUAUGGCUGCUUGUGCUCACACAGCUAGCUCAAAUAUGUGGAACACUGUGUCAAUUUUAUUGCUAUAGUCCAAAACAGGAGAAAAUUUACACUUUAAUGGUGUUUUUGUUUCAGCAGGUCAUUAAUGAGAACGGUUUCAAAGCCAGUUACACUUCUCUCGUGGCAAAAUAUACUCAAGGAAAUUACUCUUUGGCACUGGCUGUAAGGCCUCUUGCAGCAGUUUUGCCAUGUAAAAAUGAAUACUUAACAGCUUAAAACACUUUAAUGAUACAACUUACUUUGAGAUUGUAUUAUAUCCUUGGGACAGCAGAUGCAUGAUGGUACUCAAGAAAUCUCUCUAGUGCCUGCAAAAAUGCUGCAAAAUGUGAUUUUGAUAAUUUCUAAUGUAUCUUAGAUGUUCCAAGUGUAACAUAGGCUACACUCAAUCAGACAAGAGGAAAACUGCUGCUGACCUUCCUUCCAUCUUGCUGUUAUUGAUCCUUGAAAGUUCAUUCAAAGGUCAGAAAUGCUAUAAAUAUUACUUCAACAGGAAGAAACACAUAUAUAGGUGGGGAUGCUAAUGCUUCAGGUCAUAUAAGCUGGGAGGAAAGGGAGAUGUCCUGACAAUUUCAAACGGACUGGAUAACCAAAAAAGAAUUUCUCAGAUGAUUUAGAUUGAGUGACUCGCUUGCUUCUGAAGUCUAAUAUAUCACUGCAACCUGGAUUCCUGGCUGCAGGCUGAAAACGUGCCACAAGAAGAAAUGUAAAAGUAUCAAGCAAGUGAAAUUAAAGUAAUUAAAACCAGAAAAUGAUUCUAUUAACACACUCACCAAAACCACAACAGUGAUUCAGAGCCAUUUUCCUUAGGGGAAAUUACUGUUCCUUUCUAAAAACACAACAACAAAAGCUUUACUCAUGCUGGGGCAAUACUAAUAUCCCUGGAAUGGCAAUUUGCAUAUUGCUGUGUUUAACAACUAGGUAAAUGUAUCCUGAUUCAGAAAGCUACUCUGAUUACCAAAAGCAAAUACAGUUUUUAAAAUAAACCAUUUCACUAACAA